rnacentral:rRNA from 1 species
GUGAUCACUGUAACGCCCUGAGUGUUGCGGAUGUUUCGCAGAAGUUGACCGAACUUGAUUAUUUAGAGGAAGUAAAAGUCGUAACAAGGUUUCCGUAGGUGAACNUNNNNNNNNNNNACNCANNNNAUCCUUACAGUUAUAAACAAAAACACAAUAUAUAAAAUACUUAUAUUGUAAAAUUAUGGCAAAUGCCAAAAAGAAACAAAAUAACAAUAAUAAAAAUGUUUAUUAUUGUAUCGCCUCCUAGGCAAAAAAGUAUAGUAUAUAAAGUGUUUGUGUGUGUGUUACACCUUACACAAAAAAUUACNUAUUUAUCUAAAAUUUGUAAAAACUGAAAUUGUGUGGACGUUGUUAUACAAAAUUAAUUUGUAUACAAAAUGUCUAAAAAUUUGAAAUACAUNANAUUAGAGUUGUACUUGUAUAAAAUUGAAAAGUAAUUUUAU